rnacentral:rRNA from 1 species
GAUGAACGCUGGCGGCGUGCCUAAUACAUGCAAGUCGAACGAACAGACGAGGAGCUUGCUCCGUUCACGUGAGCGGCGCACGGGUGAGAAACACGUGUAUAACCCACCUGUCAGACGGGGAUAACCUCGGGAAACCGGCUCUUAUCCCAGAGAACAUGCUGAACCGCAUGGGUCAAUAGUGAAAUUCGGCGUUUGUGGCUCUUAUAGAGGCAUCCGGGCCGCAUGAGCUAGUAGGUAAGUUAACGGGUUAUCAAGGCAACGAUGCGUAGCCGAACUGAGAGAGGGAUCGGCCACAUUGGAACUGAGCCGCGGUCCAGACUCCUACGGGAGGCCGCAGUAGGGAAUGUUAGGCAAUGGGCGAAAGCCUGACGGAGCAACGCGGAGUGAGUGAUGACGGUCUUCGGAUCGUAAAACUCUGUUAUGAGGGGAGAACAAAUGUGUAAGUAACUAUGCCCGGAUUGACGGUACCUAAUCAGAAAGCCCCGGCUAACUACGUG